UGCAGUCGAGCGGUAGCACAGAGAGCUUGCUCUCGGGUGACGAGCGGCGGACGGGUGAGUAAUGUCUGGGAAACUGCCUGAUGGAGGGGGAUAACUACUGGAAACGGUAGCUAAUACCGCAUAACGUCGCAAGACCAAAGUGGGGGACCUUCGGGCCUCAUGCCAUCAGAUGUGCCCAGAUGGGAUUAGCUGGUAGGUGGGGUAACGGCUCACCUAGGCGACGAUCCCUAGCUGGUCUGAGAGGAUGACCAGCCACACUGGAACUGAGACACGGUCCAGACUCCUACGGGAGGCAGCAGUGGGGAAUAUUGCACAAUGGGCGCAAGCCUGAUGCAGCCAUGCCGCGUGUGUGAAGAAGGCCUUCGGGUUGUAAAGCACUUUCAGCGGGGAGGAAGGCGGUGAGGUUAAUAACCUCAUCGAUUGACGUUACCCGCAGAAGAAGCACCGGCUAACUCCGUGCCAGCAGCCGCGGUAAUACGGAGGGUGCAAGCGUUAAUCGGAAUUACUGGGCGUAAAGCGCACGCAGGCGGUCUGUCAAGUCGGAUGUGAAAUCCCCGGGCUCAACCUGGGAACUGCAUUCGAAACUGGCAGGCUAGAGUCUUGUAGAGGGGGGUAGAAUUCCAGGUGUAGCGGUGAAAUGCGUAGAGAUCUGGAGGAAUACCGGUGGCGAAGGCGGCCCCCUGGACAAAGACUGACGCUCAGGUGCGAAAGCGUGGGGAGCAAACAGGAUUAGAUACCCUGGUAGUCCACGCUGUAAACGAUGUCGAUUUGGAGGUUGUGCCCUUGAGGCGUGGCUUCCGGAGCUAACGCGUUAAAUCGACCGCCUGGGGAGUACGGCCGCAAGGUUAAAACUCAAAUGAAUUGACGGGGGCCCGCACAAGCGGUGGAGCAUGUGGUUUAAUUCGAUGCAACGCGAAGAACCUUACCUGGUCUUGACAUCCACAGAACUUUCCAGAGAUGGAUUGGUGCCUUCGGGAACUGUGAGACAGGUGCUGCAUGGCUGUCGUCAGCUCGUGUUGUGAAAUGUUGGGUUAAGUCCCGCAACGAGCGCAACCCUUAUCCUUUGUUGCCAGCGGUUAGGCCGGGAACUCAAAGGAGACUGCCAGUGAUAAACUGGAGGAAGGUGGGGAUGACGUCAAGUCAUCAUGGCCCUUACGACCAGGGCUACACACGUGCUACAAUGGCAUAUACAAAGAGAAGCGACCUCGCGAGAGCAAGCGGACCUCAUAAAGUAUGUCGUAGUCCGGAUUGGAGUCUGCAACUCGACUCCAUGAAGUCGGAAUCGCUAGUAAUCGUAGAUCAGAAUGCUACGGUGAAUACGUUCCCGGGCCUUGUACACACCGCCCGUCACACCAUGGGAGUGGGUUGCAAAAGAAGUAGGUAGCUUAACCUUCGGGAGGGCGCUACC
rnacentral:rRNA from 1 species